rnacentral:lncRNA from 1 species
CACAACUCUCUUUCUCUCUCUCUCUCUCCGUCACAGUUCUUCAGCCACAGUUCGUCACAACUCUCUCUCUCCAUGUCAGUCUUCAACCAAAAUGGACUGUUGUUGUGCCUCUGCUUCUCUCGACUAGUGAUGUUGCUACUGCUGCGUUUGUGCUCCGUCUCGAUUGGUGGUGGUGGUGGUGCUGUUGCUGCUGCUGCUCUCUCUCUCUCUCUCUUAAGUUGCUCCUAUAACGAGAUCUGAGCAUAUAUGUUGACGAGAUCUAAACAUUUAUGUUGAGGAUCGACAUUGGCUCACUGGUAUUAUUCUUCUAUUUGGGUAAAUUUUGAGUAAUUAUUAUUUAUCUUGUGCAUAUGAUUUCAUUAUUCUUAUAUUUCCAAGCUUUUAAUUUUCUUUUAUUUUGGUGAACAAUUUUUCUUUCUUAAUUUCUUUAAAUCUUUUCUGGGUUUACUUAUGUUUGGUGAAAUUGGAUGUGGGUUUUACUUUUUCAUUUUGUGAGGAAUUGUCACCAGCUUUUAUUUUUGCUAAAUAGGUGGUGGUAAUCGAACUAGGGAUUUUCGAGCUGCUGCUGCUGAUAUUAUUCAAGUUCGAGCUGCUGCUACUGUCUUCAAGUUCGAGCGCGGAGACUGUACUACGAGGAGUUGACGACGCGAGAAAGACGGCGAAUUAGCUACCUCAUCUUCAACUUAAAGGUAAAUUUUGGUGGAAUUUGAGUUGAAAUUGAGUGAGUUUGAGUGGGAAGACAAGGUUUUGAGAGAAAGAAAAGGGGUGCUUGGUUGGCGAGAAAGUGAGAGAAAAUUUUUGGAUUUGAAAAGUGAUGGGUUCUUUGUUUUUACUUCUUUAUUGUUCUUUAUUGAGUAGAUGUUGACGGUACAAGCAUUAUAAUUAAGAUUUUCAACGGCAAAUAUAGAGAAAUAGAAGCAAACUUUGAUUCAGAGUAUGCAGCAGCAUUUUUUGGUACUUUUCUUAGUUUUUUUGGGGAAGCAUUAGAUACUAAUUAUUGUAGGUUUGUGGUCUGAACAGUAGCUAAAACCUUAACCAUAGUUUGAGGUUUCUUUUCUGGAACCAUUCAUGGUAAUUUGAGGCAGAGAUUGUGCAUCAUGUGCAACAUGUCCGUGUCUCUUGAAUAGAAAGCUUUCAAGUUUGCAGUCUUACAAUGUAAUGAUUUUCUCUUGAUCCCAGUAAUGAAAGUAGUUGCUAUGUUAAAUUCAUUUAAAAUUAUUUUCCUGCCUUUAUGCGACUCCUUUUUUUUGGAAAUAAAAGGGGUCAAUGAUUUGGCUUUUAUUUGCAGUUAAUUUGGUGUGUGUUGUUAAUUUUGUGGCGCAUAGGUUGUUGUGGCAUAUCCAAAGAAAAGCACAAAUUUGGUGUGCGUUGUUAAUUUUGUGGCGCAUAGGUUGUUGUUGGCGAUUAUGAUGAUUUAAGUAUCUAAUGAACAGUUGAAUACAAUCAUUAAAUGGAAAAUUGCUCUGUUUUCUCCAGGGGUAAAGGUUUCCAAUAACUCAGCAAACCCAUUUCUCUAUUUGUGCUUUUCUUUGGAGCUCUCCUUGGACUGGACUCGAUAACUUUUGCAAAACUUGCUGCUGUUUUUAUAAGCAUGGAUGAUGUUGCCAUGACGACAGUUGGAAAAACUUGGGCAGUGGAUGAAUUUCUUUGUGUCUUUGAAGAAGAUAAAUACGUUGUUAAUAAGUUGUGCUGAGCUUUUACUUUAAAACUACUUACCUUUCUUCCUCUUUUUAUUUGCCGUAAAUUUAUGCAAUAUAUCAAUCUACUUUUUUCCGGAGAUGAUACUUGUAAUCAGAUUGUAUGAUGCACUUAGUGUAAUGUACUAGAUUUUGGUGGAUUUUUAUAAUAUGCAGAAACUAUUAUGUUUGAUAUAGGAA